UGCAUUGUGGGAAACCAGAGAAGCAGUUGGAUCCCAUUCAGUCUUCUCGCUUCUAGUCCAGAUAUUGCAGACGGACAACUAAGGAAACAAGGAAUCUUCUAUAACUCAAGACUUAUUCAGACUUUAAGACUGGGUCCUUCUAAGAUGGCGCGCGUCUUGGCCCUUGUUGUCGUUCUCGGUCUGGUCGGGGCAAUCUCGGCACAGAGCUACAAAGGCUGCUACAAGAGGAAAUGGGGAACUUUCAGGACUCGGGACAGCAGCGACGACAUGACCAACGAGAAAUGCGUCGAGAUCUGCGCAAAGGAGGGCUUACCAUAUGCAGGAACGUACGAGACUAAAUGCGGCUGUGGCAGGGAGUCGGAGCUGACAAGACUGGGAGACCCGACUGACGAGUCCGAGUGUGCCUCCACCUGUGGGGGUGACGUCACGCAGAAAUGUGGAAAGGGAAACGGAUUGCUCACUGUGUGGGCCACUGGCAAAGAAAAGCGCGAGAUGAACGAGGUGGAGGAUGUGAAACAGGACAUGAGGGAGCUGGAGCAUCAUCAUCAUCAUCACCAUGAUAAGAAGGCUGCAGAUGAGGGGCAUGAUAAGGUGGCUACAGAUUAGAACAUAAUAAGAAGACUGCAGAUGAGGGGCAUGAUAAGAAGGCUACAGAUGAGGGGCAUGAUAAGGUGGCUACAGAUUAGAACAUAAUAAGAAGACUGCAGAUGAGGGGCAUGAAAAGAAGGCUGCAGAUGAGGGGCAUGAUAAGGUGGCUACAGAUUAGAACAUAAUAAGAAGACUGCAGAUGAGGGGCAUGAUAAGGUGGCUACAGAUUAGAACAUAAUAAGAAGACUGCAGAUGAGAGUCAUGAUAAGAAGGCUGCAGAUGAGGGGCAUGAUAAGGUGGCUACAGAUUAGAACAUAAUAAGAAGACUGCAGAUGAGGGGCAUGAUAAGGUGGCUACAGAUUAGAACAUAAUAAGAAGACUGCAGAUGAGAGUCAUGAUAAGAAGGCUGCAGAUGAGGGGCAUGAUAAGGUGGCUACAGAUUAGAACAUAAUAAGAAGACUGCAGAUGAGGGGCAUGAAAAGAAGGCUGCAGAUGAGGGGCAUGAUAAAGUGGCUACAGAUUAAAACAUAAUAAGAAGACUGCAGAUGAGGGGCAUGAUAAGGUUAAGGAGGCUAGAGUAACAUCAUCACCAUUAUCAUAAUACGGCUGCAACGAGUAGCGGCAUUAGCGUCAUCAUCAUCACCAUCAUCAUCGUUAUGAUAAGGCUGAAGAUAGCAAGUGACUUCCACCAAAUGUAACAAAAUAUCAGUGUAAACUUAAUGGUAGGAAAAUAUACAUAAAACGUGGUCACUUUAAGAUUAAGUUUAGGGCACCAUUUUAGAUUUGAAAAUGGAGCAGAGAUAACGAACUUUUUUUAACCAAAAGUGAUUUAGUUAUCGGUGAAUAAUAGUUAUAUAGUUAUUUGUUCGAACGGACCAUAGAAUUUGAGAGAAAUGGGUGUUAUAGGUGGACUUCACACGGGCAUAUCAGUACUGAACUUCGGCACACACAAAGAUCAAUAGACUCAUACCAAACAGUAAUACAUUGUUUGUUGGAUACACAAUGUGCGGACAAAGCUUCUGAAAAAAUAACAACAACUAU